GGGGGGAGCGCGUGGUAGAAUGCAGUCGAGCGCGAAGCUCCUUUCGGGGAGUGGAGAGCGGCAAACGGGUGCGUAACACGUAAGCAACCUGCCCUUAAGUUGAGGAUAGCCCGCCGAAAGGUGGAUUAAUACUGAAUGUGGUCCCUUUCUGCAUGGAAAGGGCACUAAAGCUUGUAAUGGCGCUUAAGGAGGGGCUUGCGGCCUAUCAGCUUGUUGGUGAGGUAACGGCUCACCAAGGCUAAGACGGGUAGCUGUUCUGAGAGGAUGAUCAGCCACACUGGGACUGAGAUACGGCCCAAACACCUACGGGUGGCAGCAGUUUCGAAUCAUUCACAAUGGGCGAAAGCCUGAUGGUGCAACGCCGCGUGGGGGAUGACGGCCUUCGGGUUGUAAACCCCUGUCACCAAGGAUUAACAACCGUGUUCAUAGCACGGCCUGAAGUUACUUGGAGAGGAAGCAGUGGCUAACUCCGUGCCAGCAGCCGCGGUAAUACGGAGACUGCAAGCGUUACUCGGAUUUACUGGGCGUAAAGGAUGCGCAGGCGGCUAUGUGUGUCAGGUGUGAAAUCUCGGGGCUCAACUCCGAAACUGCGCCUGAAACUGCAUAGCUAGAGACUCGGAGGGGUAAGCGGAAUUCCAGGUGUAGCGGUGAAAUGCGUAGAUAUCUGGAGGAACACCAAUGGCGAAGGCAGCUUACUGGACGAGAUCUGACGCUCAAGCAUGAAAGCGUGGGUAGCGAAAGGGAUUAGAUACCCCUGUAGUCCACGCCGUAAACGUUGUACACUAGGUUUCGGCGGAUUCGACCCCGUCGGAACUCAAGCUAACGUGAUAAGUGUACCGCCUGAGGACUACGGCC
rnacentral:rRNA from 1 species